GCGCCAACCAGGCGAGGAAGGGGGCCUGGAGGGGGCGGCUCCACCUUCACAGCCAGGAGGCCGGAGGCUGGCAAAGAUGGGGAGGAAGCGGCCGACGACGCUGUUUACCUGCUGCAGUUGCUGUGGGAGAGAUGCCCCCUGAAAAUCUUGGUCUGAGUAACUGCGGUGCAGAGUGACUGAGAUGCUGCGCCAGUACAGACAGCCCUAUAAUUAAAAUGCAGAGAAAUUGUGCUUAUUUGCUGCUUUGCUUCAGGUAUAGUGGGC